rnacentral:rRNA from 1 species
AACGAACGCUGGCGGCGUGCCUAACACAUGCAAGUCGUGCGAGAAAGUUCCUUCGGGAGCGAGUAAAGCGGCGCACGGGUGAGUAACACGUAGGUAACCUGCCCCCCAGUCUGGAACAACUAGAGGAAACUCUAGCUAAUGCCGGAUGAGACCACGAUCCCUUCGGGGGUUGCGGCCAAAGAUGGCCUCUACUUGUAAGCUAUCGCUGAGGGAUGGGCCUGCGGGCCAUUAGCUUGUUGGUGAGGUAACGGCUCACCAAGGCUGUGAUGGCUAGCUGGUCUGAGAGGAUGACCAGCCACACUGGGACUGAGACACGGCCCAGACUCCUACGGAGGCAGCAGUGGGAAUAUUGCGCAAUGGGCGAAAGCCUGACGCAGCGACGCCGCGUGGGUGAUGAAGGCCUUC